rnacentral:rRNA from 1 species
CGGGUGAGUAAUGUAUGGGGAUCUGCCCGAUAGAGGGGGAUAACUACUGGAAACGGUGGCUAAUACCGCAUAAUGUCUACGGACCAAAGCAGGGGCUCUUCGGACCUUGCACUAUCGGAUGAACCCAUAUGGGAUUAGCUAGUAGGUGGGGUAAAGGCUCACCUAGGCGACGAUCUCUAGCUGGUCUGAGAGGGUGAUCGGCACACUGGGACUGAGACACGGCCCAG